rnacentral:rRNA from 3 species
CAGCCGCCGCGGUAAUACGUAGGUGGCAAGCGUUAUCCGGAAUUAUUGGGCGUAAAGCGCGCGUAGGCGGUUUUUUAAGUCUGAUGUGAAAGCCCACGGCUCAACCGUGGAGGGUCAUUGGAAACUGGAAAACUUGAGUGCAGAAGAGGAAAGUGGAAUUCCAUGUGUAGCGGUGAAAUGCGCAGAGAUAUGGAGGAACACCAGUGGCGAAGGCGACUUUCUGGUCUGUAACUGACGCUGAUGUGCGAAAGCGUGGGGAUCAAACAGGAUUAGAUACCCUGGUAGUCCACGCCGUAAACGAUGAGUGCUAAGUGUUAGGGGGUUUCCGCCCCUUAGUGCUGCAGCUAACGCAUUAAGCACUCCGCCUGGGGAGUACGACCGCAAGGUUGAAACUCAAAUGAAUUGACGG